UGGAGCAAUAAAACAUUAAUUCGUUCAAUUAAAAUGUCACUUGAAAAAGAAGCAGACAGUAUUGAAUCAAUUUUACAGAAAUUACCCGACAAAGAAUUUCGACAAGUGUGGAGAAUAUUAUAUGGAGACGGUGGACAAGACUUAGACGUAUCUGAGAAAUGCAUGAAGCUAGCGUCGAGAUACAAAUUGGAAUUGGUUAAGUAUAAAUUUAAUCAUGUAGUUGAACAACUUAGACCUCCUCGAUUAAUUAGAGUGGCACUAUUCCAACAAAAGCUACCGGUACCAUUAACUUUUCCAAUUUAUAAAGUAAAAACGGAAAUGUAUACUUUAGCAAUGGAUGCUGUGAAAGUAGCUGCCAAAGGUGGAGCGAAGAUAUUUAGUUUACAACAAGCUUGGAAUAUGCCGUACGCCUUUUGUAGCGGGGAAAAAAUGCCUUGGAGUGAAUAUGCGGAAAAAGCCGAAGAAGGGUCGACAACGAGAAUAUUACAGUCGCUAUCUCAAGAAAACAAUAUUGUUAUAAUAUCAACAAUCCUGGAACGAGACGAAAUAUUUGAAGAUCGAAUUUGGAACACAGCUAUAGUUAUAGAUAAUCAUGGACGAGUUUUAGGAAAACAAAGAAGAAAUCAUAUACCUUGUGUAGAAAAUUCCAAUGAGCCUACAUAUUACUGUGAAGGUGAUAGUGGACAUCCUGUUUUUGAGACUGAAUAUGGAAAAAUCGGUAUCAAUAUUUGCUAUGAGAGGCAUUAUCCACUGAGUUGGUUCGCGUUAGCUUUAAAUGGUGCAGAAAUCGUAUUUAAUCCAUGUGGAGCGAUUGGCGAAGAAGCUGAACUUCUAUGGGGUAUUGAAGCUCGCAAUGCUGCAAUAGCGAACGGUUAUUACGUGUGUACAGUGAAUAGAAUAGGAAUGGAAAUAUAUGAUCAUGAAUAUGAAGAUGAAGAGGGUAAUUUAAUACAUCACAAAGACUCCGGACUCUUCUUCGGAUCUAGUUAUGUGACUGCUCCAAAUGGAUCAAGAUCCCCGGGUUUAUCAAGAACAAAAAACGGACUACUUAUAGCAGAGUUUGAUUUGAAUUUGUGCCGGCAAGUAAAAGAUAAUAGAGGAAUUGGGGUCCACUUUUAGAGAACGUAUUUGAAGAUAUGAUAUUUUCCUAAGCACAAAAUAUAAUAUAUCUCUUCAAAUAAGAAAUGGGAGAGAGUGAGAACUUUGAGAAGAAAAAAUGUAUAAGUCCGGUUCUGCUCAAAGCAGCAGUAAUUUAAACUGUUCUCAUAUUAUUGUCACCAGAUGGCGUUAUUUAAAUCACACGCACAUGCUACCCAAAUAUAGAGAUCUUCUUUUACAAGCCACAAAUUCAGAUUUUAAGCCGCAAGUUAUCAAAAAACACUGCCAUUGUUAUUCUAUAUAAAAAUUAAUUAUUUUGAAUGAAGGAAAAUAAAUUUUUCUUCUAA